UCAGGGUUUGGUGCCACGACUCAGAUAGUAUCUGUCCCUGCCUCAGGAUCCUGUUUACUCCUACCAGUGUUGUAGACACUCUUGCAAAGAAAAGAUGGACAUCCACCCAAAAUGUGGUUCAGAUUGGAGACUGAUGAUGCCACAGGAACACCAAGAAGAUUUCCUUAUCAGAACUUCUGGAACAGUUUAUCUGCACUUGCUCUACAGGAUUUUCCUUCCUAGUCAUCCUUUC